GAUGAACGCUGGCGGCGUGCCUAAUACAUGCAAGUCGAACGAAACUUCUAUAACACUGCUUCUUUGAACUUACCGAUAAACAGUUGAGUGACAAACGGGUAAGUAACCCAUAAGCAACCGGCCCAUUCGAGGAGCCUAACCCAUUACAACAGGUUCUAUUACCCCAUAACCUUAAUUACUGCAAGACAACUUUGUAAUAGGUUAUAAUUCUACCCCCUCUGCAUUAGCCCGCGGCGCAUUAGCUAGUUGGUAAGGUAAAGGCUUACCAAGGCAACGAUGCGUAGCCGAAUUGAGAGGUUGAUCGGCCACACUGGAACUGAGACACGGCCCAGACUCCUACGGGAGGCAGCAGUAGGGAAUCUUCCACAAUGGGCGAAAGCCUGAUGGAGCAACGCCGCGUGAGUGAUGAAGGUCUUCGGAUCGUAAAACUCUGUUAUUAGGGAAGAAAGAAUGUGUGAGUAACUAUGCACGUCUUGACGGUAUCUAAUCAGAAAGCCACGGCUAACUACGUG
rnacentral:rRNA from 1 species